rnacentral:rRNA from 1 species
AUGGCCUCGGAGCCGGCCGUGGCGUCGGGCGUGUGCGGGAGGAGCGGCCGGGCCGCGCGGCUGCUCGCCCGCGCGCUCCUCGAGUGGAUCCUCAUCGCGCUGCUCCUCGCCAACGGCGUCUUCUCCUACCUCAUCGCCCGCUUCGCCGCCUUCUUCGGCCUGCCGCCGCCCUGCGCGCUCUGCUCCCGCCUCGCCGUCGACAGCCUCUUCGACGCGUCUCGCCCCGGCGCCGAGCCCCUGCGCCGCGUGCUCUGCGACGGGCACGCCGCCGAGGUGUCGCGCCUCGGCUACUGCCGCGCGCACCGCCGCCUCGCCGACGCCGCCGACAUGUGCGAGGACUGCGGCGCGGCGGCGCCGUCCGGGAAGGCGCUGCUGUCGUGGAUGAGGCGGAGCGAGCUCGGCGAGCGGGACCUCGCCUGCGCCUGCUGCGGCGUCGCGCUCGAGAGCGGCUUCUACUCGCCGCCCUUCCUGCUCCCCACGCCGUCGGCCGCGGCUCACGACCCGGGCCGCGGCUGCGACCAGGACGGCCACGGAGACGUGGUCUUCGUGUCCGAGGACGGCCCUGUGAUCGAGCUCUUCGACGAGAAGCCAUUGGUGGAGGAUGAUUCCAUCGGUGUCAUUUCAGCUCACCGCGCUGGCAUUGCCGGCAGCGUUGAGCGACUGGUGCCGCUUGAAUCCAUCGACUCCUUGGCCGUCGGUGUGCCUGAGCUGUCAUCUCACCCCAGUGGUGAAGGGGAGGGAGCAGUUGAUCAUGUGGCCGUGGAGCAGGACUAUGUGGUGCCGGAGAGGAAGGUUAAUGCCACCGAGGAGAAAUUUUUGGUGGCCUCUGAUGCUCAGCACUCUCCUCAGAUGAAUAAUGGAUUGAAAGAGAUGUCAUCAUCAGAGGAUGAGCAAGUUGAACAGGGCACUGUGGAACAUGAAUUGUUUUCCAUGCCAUCUGAUACCAUGGAGCAUGGAUUAGUUGUUGACAAAUCUGAUGGAAAUACUGAAGAGGUGCUGGUUCAACAAGCUGGCAUAAAGGAUGAGUGUGACGCUAUGCCAAUGGAAGGUGGGCCACAUGACGCAGAGGUUUCGAACGAGAACACUGAGGAGAACCAGGUUCAACAAGCUGAGCUGAGUCAGGAAUUGGAUUCGGUAAUGAUACAUCCCAGGGAGCAUGUCGAUGAAGAAUGUGAAGAGGAGAAAAUAUCACUGGCCGAGUUGAAACAAGAAUUGGACUCCGCGGCACUUGAUUCUUGGGAACAAAUUACUGAGAUUUCAAGUGAGAACAUUGAAAACCAUGUUGAACAGCCUCAGCUGAACCAUUUAUCCACUUUUAUGGCAGCAGGCGAAGAUGAUAUUGAAGUUGAUCCAACUGAGGAUCUUCUACCAAGCUUGCACCAACUUUCUGAUGGGCAUUCAAUAAGUUCAGGCAAAUCAUCUUCUGACUGCAGUGAUGUUGAAGAUAAGAGAGUUUCUGAUACACCAACUGAUAUUGAAGAUAUCAGUUAUUUACAGGAAUUACCAGACCCUAAAGCAGUGACUGCUGAUACGAGGUCUGUUGAUUCAAGUGUGGCUAAUAUGUUCACUGAUCUGGAAAGCGUUGAACUGGUGAGUGUUGAUCAACUCAAGUCUGCUUUGGGAGCUGCCCACAAGUCAUUGAGUACGCUAUAUGCAGAGCUUGAAAAUGAGAGGAGUGCAGCAGCUAUAGCUGCUGAUGAGACCAUGGCAAUGAUAAAUCGCUUGCAAGAACAGAAAGCUGCAAUGCAGAUGGAGGCGAUGCAGUACCAGCGACUUAUGGAAGAGCAGUCGGAGUAUGAUCAAGAAGCACUGCAGAGGCUGAAUGAUCUAGUUGUAAAGAGAGAUAAGGAGAGGCAAGAUAUGGAGAGGGAGCUCGAACUGUAUCGCCACAAGAUUCAUCUCUAUGAGGCGAAGGAGAGGAGGAAAAUGUCCAGGCACAAGGCCGAUGACCAGAAUGGAUCAUCCUCAGCUUCAUCAAGUGCUGAGGACAGUGAUGACCUUUCCCAAAGUUUCUAUGAGGGCGAUGAGUCUGCCCAUGGUCUGAAUGGAAGCAAUGGCAGUAGUCCCACUGAUGUUGUUUUACAUGAAACUGCUAGUCAUAUUGUUACACUUGAUGGCUCGCUAGCUGACUGUGAGGAAGAGAGGCUUUCCAUAUUGGAUCAGCUGAAAGUGCUAGAGGAGAGGCUUUUCGACCUCGAAGAUGAAGAAUCUGAUAACUUGAAGAUGGACAAGCAUUUCACAGAAGAUAACCAUUCAAACGGUGCCUCAAAUGGUUUCUCUGAUGAGGACGUCACCUUCAAACUUCAUGAUAGUAGAAAAGGCGUAAGCAAUGGAGGAAAGAAGCUCCUCCCUCUGUUUGAUGAUACUACCAUGAGAAAUGGGAGUGGCAUCCUAACAAAGCAAGUUACCGUCGCAGAUCCUUCAGCAGAAGUCAUGCUGGAACUUGCCAAGGAGCAAGAUAAGCUGGCGAUUGCCAGUGAGAUCGAUCAAGUCCAUGAGCGCUUGCAAGCUCUCGAGGCCGACAAGGAGUUCAUAAAGCAGUGCGUGAGGUCCUUGAACAGAGGAGGCAAGGGUUUUGUUCUUCUUCAGGAGAUCUUGCAGCAUCUCCGGGACCUCAGAAGGAUCGAGCAGCGUGCAAGGAACAACUCUGGAGAAAUCUCGCCCCACUAUCUGCAUCCUUACACGGAUUAA